CAUCAGAUUAAAGCCAACCUGACUUUUAAAGUUUCAAGGCUUUCUGUCGCUGAACUGGUGAAAACUUUUGCACAAUUGCUGGGAGCAGAGGGGCCUCUGUCGUCCAGCAUCCAGGGGUGGGUACCUUGUUUCUUCUUUACUCAUGAGAUCAAAACACAGAGAAGCAUGGAGGGGAAAAAAAAAAGUUCCCUGUUCCAUCCAAGGAGAAUUUUAAACUUAGCAUUUACAUCUUGGGGAAAGAAGAAAUACGCUUUAUAAGUGGAAUUCUGUUCACCUUGUCAUCCUAUGAGUACUUUUUGGAUGAUUUUAAGAUUCAUCAUAGACAACUGUGACUCUUGGGGAAUUGAAAGCAGAGUCAGCACGGUGGCCUUGAAUGUCAGUAAAUGCCACAGAUCCAGGAUGAGGGUGUCUCUCCCACUGGGUGGGAAUCAGAGCAGUGUCGUGUGAGGCAUGACGAACAGUUCUUCCAGCAAACCACAAGUUAUUUUAAACAGAAAAUAGUUCCUGUUCGAGGCCCUCCUAUUCAACAACUCCACCUGAGGUGGGGUGUGUAGCGUUUUCUGCUGAAUCUCGUUUCCGUAUCCGCUCAAAUUUAACCAGGAGCUGUCAGCUCCUUUCAAGUUUAGAGUCAAAUUCAAAUUUUUGAGUCUUACUUCAACUGUGAGGUUGUGGCUGGCAGUUGUUUCUAGUGAGCUCUGUAGUGUGUCUGUGUUCUCUUCGAUCAGUGCUUGCCACCAAAAGGAUGUCCAAGAGGAUCCUUUUUUACCUGCGAGCGAUUCAUCUAUUUAAAACAGGCUCCUGCCUAAUUCCCCAAAGCAGCCGGCCUUUGAAGGCUUUCUGAAUAAACUAAUUUGUUCAGAAAAAGCUUGGCCUUGAAACCAAACUAGAGAAAUAAAAUGUAAAAUUUAACUCUAAUGGAACAUGUGGAAAUGAAAAAAACUUAAGCCAAUGGAGAGUAAGAAGCAGAAAAAAGGAAGCUUAUCUAGAAUGGGAUUAUACAAUGUUUUUAAGUAGUCAAUUCAUGGAAAAAUAUUGAAUAUUAACACAGAGCAUAUUAAAAUAUGUAAAUAUUACUGUUUCUCAUGUCUUUCUCUUUCUAUCUUAUUUUAUGAGGUUUUAGAAUGAAUUGGUCCUUAGAUACACAGUGUUUCUUUCCAAAAAGUAAUUUUGUUGAUAUUGUAAAAAAAAUGUAAGUAAGGAUAAAGAUUUGAGUAGGCUCUAACAUUGUUCAAAUGUUUCCAGGAACCAAAUCGG
rnacentral:lncRNA from 1 species